rnacentral:rRNA from 1 species
GUUGAACGCUGGCGGCGUGCCUAAUACAUGCAAGUCGAGCGAACGGACGAGAUGCUUGCUUCUCUGAUGUUAGCGGCGGACGGGUGAUUAACACGUGGAUAACCUGCCUAUAGGACUAGGAUAACUUCGGGAGACCGUAUCUAAUACCGGAUAAUAUUUUGAACCGCAUGGUUCAAAAGUGAAAGACGGUCUUGCUGUCACUUAUAGAUGUUUCCGCGCUGCUUUAGCUAGUUGGUAAGGUAACGGCUUACCAAGGCAACGAUGCAUAGCCGACCUGAGAGGAUGAUCGGCCACACUGGAACUGAGACACGGUCCAGACUCCUACGGGAGACAGCAGUAGGGAAUCUUCGGCAAUGGGCGAAAGCCUGACGGAGCAACGCCGCGUGAGUGAUGAAGGUCUUCGGAUCGUAAAACUCUGUUAUUAGGGACGAACAUAUGUGUAAGUAACUGUGCACAUCAUGACGGUACCUAAUCAGAAAGCCACGGCUAACUACGUG